AGAGUUUGAUCCUGGCUCAGGAUGAACGCUAGCGGCAGGCUUAACACAUGCAAGUCGAGGGGCAGCGCGGGGUAGCAAUACUCUGGCGGCGACCGGCGGAAGGGUGCGUAACACGUGAGCAACCUGCCCGUGUCCGGGACAUAACCGGCGGAAACGCCGACUAAUUUCCCAUAACAUCAGCGUCCGCAUGGUCGCUGGUUGAAAGAUUCGUCGGACACGGAUGGGCUCGCGGGACAUUAGCUGGUUGGAGUGGUAACGGCACACCAAGGCUACGAUGUCUAGGGGUUCUGAGAGGAAGGUCCCCCACACUGGAACUGAGACACGGUCCAGACUCCUACGGGAGGCAGCAGUGAGGAAUAUUGGUCAAUGGGCGGAAGCCUGAACCAGCCAUGCCGCGUGAAGGAAUGAGGCCCUAUGGGUCGUGAACUUCUUUUGUGGCGGAGCAAUAAGGGUCACGUGUGGCCCGACGAGAGUACGUCACGAAUAAGCACCGGCUAACUCCGUGCCAGCAGCCGCGGUAAUACGGAGGGUGCAAGCGUUAUCCGGAUUUAUUGGGUUUAAAGGGUGCGUAGGCUGUCCGACAAGUCAGGGGUGAAAGCCCGGCGCUCAACGCCGGAACCGCCUUUGAUACUGCCGGGCUGGAAUGCGGAUGCCGUGGGAGGAAUGAGUAGUGUAGCGGUGAAAUGCAUAGAUAUUACUCAGAACACCGAUUGCGAAGGCAUCUCACGAAUCCGCUAUUGACGCUGAGGCACGAAAGCGUGGGGAGCGAACAGGAUUAGAUACCCUGGUAGUCCACGCAGUAAACGAUGAUGACUAACCGUCGGCGAUACACUGCCGGUGGCCAAGCGAAAGCGAUAAGUCAUCCACCUGGGGAGUACGUUCGCAAGAAUGAAACUCAAAGGAAUUGACG
rnacentral:rRNA from 1 species